UGGCGAAGGUCCCAGCAGGGAGGUGGGAACUCUUAUGAAUUGAUUCCUCUCUAACAAAUUAUCCGAAAAUGCCUUCGCAUAUCCAUUUUUGCCGAUUCGUAGGAUGCCCGAUUACUCCAUUUUUGGAGCGUCUUGAACCCUCGGCUACAUUCUA